GAUGAACGCUGGCGGCGUGCCUAAUACAUGCAAGUCGAGCGAACGGACGAGAAGCUUGCUUUUCUGAUGUUAGCGGAGGACGGGUGAGUAACACGUGGAUAAUCUACCUAUAAGACUGGGAUAUCUUCGGGAAACCGGCGCUAAUACCGGAGAAUAUUUUGAACCGCAGGGUUCAAAAGUGAAAGACGGUCUUGCUGGCAGUUGUGGAUGGAUGCGGGCUUCAUUAGCGAGUUGGGAAGGUAGCGGCUUACCAAGGCAACGAUGCAUAGCCGGCCUGAGAGGGUGACCGGCCACAGUGGGACUGAGAUACGGCCCAGACUCCUACGGGAGGAAGCAGUGGGGAAUAUUGCAAAAUGGGCGGAAGUGUGAUGCAGCAACGCCGCGUGCGGGAUGACGGCCUUCGGGUUGUAAACCGCUGUCGCCUGUGACGAAGCGUGAGUGACGGUAAUGGGUAAAGAAGCACCGGCUAACUACGUG
rnacentral:rRNA from 1 species